rnacentral:rRNA from 1 species
CAGUAGCCGCGGUAAUACGAAGGGGGCUAGCGUUGUUCGGAUUUACUGGGCGUAAAGCGCACGUAGGCGGAUCGAUCAGUCAGGGGUGAAAUCCCAGAGCUCAACUCUGGAACUGCCUUUGAUACUGUCGAUCUGGAGUAUGGAAGAGGUGAGUGGAAUUCCGAGUGUAGAGGUGAAAUUCGUAGAUAUUCGGAGGAACACCAGUGGCGAAGGCGGCUCACUGGUCCAUUACUGACGCUGAGGUGCGAAAGCGUGGGGAGCAAACAGGAUUAGAUACCCGUGUAGUCCCUGUCUCUUAUAC